AUGGUUCUCUCUGGGGAGCAGAGCUCUUGGGGUCCCCUGCACCAUGGCCUGGCCUCUCGCCUGCCUCCUCCUGCUCACCUGCUGCUCAGGUUCCUUCUCCCAGCCUGUGCUGAUUCAUUCUCCAUGUCUGUGUCCCUGGGAGCCACGGCCAGACUCUCCUGCACCCUCAGCAGUCAGUACAACACCUACACAAUUCAUUGGUACCAGCAGAGCCCAGGAAAAGCCACUCAGUAUCUCAUGUAUGUCAACAGUGGUGGAAGUGUAGGCAAGGGCGAGGGGAUCUCCGACCACUUCUCGGGCUCCGGCUCUGGGGCCAAUCGCUACUUGUCCAUCAGCAGCCUCCAGCCUGAGGAUGAAGCCCAUUACUACUGUGGGACAGGUUAUUAUAUUGGUAAUAGCUUUGGUUAA